UACAGAGGAUGCAAGCGUUAAUCGGAAUUACUGGGCGUAAAGGGCGCGUAGGCGGAGUAUUAAGUUAGAUGUGAAAUCCCUGGGCUUAACCUGGGAAUGGCAUUUAAUACUGAUAAUCUAGAGUAGAGUAGAGGGAAGUGGAAUUUCCGGUGUAGCGGUGAAAUGCGUAGAGAUCGGAAAGAACACCAGUGGCGAAGGCGGCUUCCUGGACUCAUACUGACGCUGAGGCGCGAAAGCGUGGGGAGCAAACAGG
rnacentral:rRNA from 1 species